GAAGAAAGUAGCUGAGAACCAGCAGCUGAAGAAAGCAAGAAAAUAUGAGUGAAGUCACAAAUGUCACCAAGGAAAGGAAGAACAGAAAAAUAACUUGAAUAUUCAAGAUGGGCAGCCUAGUUCAACGACACAUCAAGCCUUGUGAAAAGGUGACUCCGAGACAUGGAGGCACAUGCCUGUAGCCUCACCACACAGGCAGGUGGUGGUGAAUUCUACACUAACCUUGGCUACACAGUGACACACUGCCCCAAAACAGAAACAAAAAGCAAAAAGUUUCUCAGUGAACCUCAGAAAAGGUUCCUAAGGUAACAAAAGAAUCAAAAUAUGCCCUAGCUCACCCCAAAUGCCAAGAGCCUUGCUAUGUUUAGUAAGCACCUCCAUAAAAUGCUGUUUUCCCGGAAGAGAGCU
ensembl:lincRNA Halr1 Hoxa adjacent long noncoding RNA 1